GAUAAACGCUAGCGGCAGGCUUAACACAUGCAAGUCGAGGGGCAGCAUAGAUUGUAGCAAUACAAUUGGUGGCGACCGGCGCACGGGUGCGUAACGCGUAUGCAACCUACCCGUCACAGGGGGAUAAUCCGGAGAAAUCUGGUCUAAUACCCCAUAACAUAUGGAUCGGCAUCGGUUCAUGUUGAAAUUUUCGGAGGUGACGGAUGGGCAUGCGUAGCAUUAGCUUGUUGGUGAGGUAACGGCUCACCAAGGCGACGAUGCUUAGGGGGACUGAGAGGUUUUCCCCCCACACUGGUACUGAGACACGGACCGGACUCCUACGGGAGGCAGCAGUGAGGAAUAUUGGUCAAUGGGCGCAAGCCUGAACCAGCCAUGCCGCGUGCAGGAUGACGGCUCUGUGAGUUGUAAACUGCUUUUGUGCGAGGGUAAAGUGGGUUACGUGUAACCUUUUGAAAGUAUCGUACGAAUAAGGAUCGGCUAACUACGUGCCAGCCGCCGCAGUAA
rnacentral:rRNA from 1 species